GGGCCCGCACAAGCGGUGGAGUAUGUGGUUUAAUUCGAUGCAACGCGAAGAACCUUACCAGGGUUUGACAUCCUGCGAAUCUCUUGGAAACCGGAAAGUGCCUUCGGGAGCGCAGUGACAGGUGGUGCAUGGCUGUCGUCAGCUCGUGUCGUGAGAUGUUGGUUAAGUCCCGCAACGAGCGCAACCCACGUCUUUAGUUGCCAGCAUUGAGUUGGGCACUCUAGAGAGACCGCCGGUGAUAAACCGGAGGAAGGUGUGGAUGACGUCAAGUCAUCAUGCCCCUUACAUCCUGGGCUACACACGUACUACAAUGGCUAGGACAGACGGCCGCAAACCCGCGAGGUG
rnacentral:rRNA from 1 species